rnacentral:rRNA from 1 species
GUGGGGAAUAUUGGACAAUGGGCGAAAGCCUGAUCCAGCAAUGCCGCGUGAGUGAUGAAGGCCUUAGGGUUGUAAAGCUCUUUUACCAGGGAUGAUAAUGACAGUACCUGGAGAAUAAGCUCCGGCUAACUCCGUGCCAGCAGCCGCGGUAAUACGGAGGGAGCUAGCGUUGUUCGGAAUUACUGGGCGUAAAGCGCGCGUAGGCGGCUCAGCAAGUCAGGGGUGAAAUCCCGGGGCUCAACCCCGGAACUGCCUUUGAAACUGCUAGGCUAGAAUCCUGGAGAGGCGAGUGGAAUUCCGAGUGUAGAGGUGAAAUUCGUAGAUAUUCGGAAGAACACCAGUGGCGAAGGCGACUCGCUGGACAGGUAUUGACGCUGAGGUGCGAAAGCGUGGGGAGCAAACAGGAUUAGAAACCCGGGUAGUCC